rnacentral:rRNA from 1 species
UACGUAGGGGGCAAGCGUUGUCCGGAUUUAUUGGGCGUAAAGAGCGUGUAGGCGGUUUUACAGGUCCGCUGUGAAAACUCGAGGCUCAACCUCGAGCUGUCGGUGGAAACCGUAAGGCUAGAGUCCGGAAGAGGAGAGUGGAAUUCCUGGUGUAGCGGUGAAAUGCGCAGAUAUCAGGAAGAACACCCGUGGCGAAGGCGGCUCUCUGGGGACGGGUA